GUAUUAGAGAUAAUCAGCUUCCCUCUCCACCUCACUGGGAUCUACUAACUAAUCUGACAUAAUGAACCUGCUCUCUCGCUGCAGCUCACCUGAGGAUCCUCCUGCAGCUCUGACAGCAUGCUGGAACCAGAACACGGCCCCGUAACGCAGGUAGAGCACACCUUUACAAGGUGUCAGGUGUGUGUGCUGAGCUGCCUGCUGCUCGCCUGUCUGUACGUUGGCAGUUUGUACGUCUGGAGAAGCAGCUUACCCAGGGACCAUCCCAGUGUGAUAAAGCGCCGCUGUGCGAGUGUGCUGCUGGUUUCUGCUCUGUCACCUGCAGCGGUGAAGGUGUGGAUGCACUGGGCCGACAUCCAGGUCGACGCGUCCGUGCUGGAGCUGAUGGGAGUUCGUCUGGGAGGUCUUCUUCCUGCAGCCGUGCUGCCGCUGCUGCUGACCGUGGUAUUUUAUCUCGGCCCCCUGGUUCAUGCUGCGAUGGACGACCCUGAAGGCUUCAGCAGGGAGCUGCAGUCUGCGCUGGAUGUUCAGUCGUGGAGGCUGUGUGUGGGAGAUGCAGUGUGGCUCAGGAACCAGGUGGUGGCACCUGUGACGGAGGAGCUGGUGUUCAGAGGGGCCCUGCUGCCCAUGCUGGUGCCCUGCGCCGGACCCACGGCCGCCAUCUUUACGGCGCCGCUGUUCUUUGGUGUUGCCCACCUCCACCACAUCACAGAGCAACAGCGCCUCCACAAGGACAGCAUGAGCGUCGUCCUCACGGUGUCGGGUCAGUGGACGGCUGCACAUCCAGUCAGCUCACACACAACCGGGUCGGACAGCAGAACCUCACGCUGCUACAGUGUCAGCUGUACUGUUACUGAGACGCUUUAUAAACCAUUUAUUGAGCAGCUGAUCCAAAUAAUGAUAAUGUUUCAUAAAUGAUUGAAUUCUUUAUUAAUAGUAAACCAAACUACCACAUAAAGUUUAAUUUACUAUAAUGUUACCGGUAAUUAAUUAUGUGUUAAUUAAGUCUUACUGUGUCAGUGUAGUAAUAAGAUGCAGCAACAUGUCGAAUCUGUCACAUUAUAUUCUGCAUGUGAGAAAAAAAGGAAAGACAAACAGGAAAAUGUGAGAUUCCACGACAUAAUUUGAUUUAUUUUCAGGAGAAUAUUCCUAGAAACUGGAUCUCGAAAGAAUGAAAACAUUGGCAGCUUUCAAGGUCACUAGAAGACGUUCUAGAAGACGUGUUAGAUAAAGAGGUGAAACAGCUCUUACAUAUGAUUUAUAUGAUUACUGGAUCAGUUAGGAAACUUUGUAACACUGUAAGUAACUUUUUAUUAGUCCUCAAUAUCUGAAUCUAUGCUGAUGUAACUGAGGAAGGUCGUUAUCGUGGCUCAUUUAAUGGAAAUAUUAAAGUACCCUUUUCUUUCUUUCUGCAGGGCUGCAGUUCUUGUACACGACUGUAUUCGGUGCGUUUACUGCCUUCAUAUUCAUGAGAACAGGUCACGUCGUGGGUCCAGUUUUGUGCCACUCGUUCUGCAACAGUCGCGGACUGCCGGACAUCAGCGCCGCCCUGCAGCACCCUCAG